GGUCGGGAGACUUUCUGUGGGAAGAAAGUCAAGAAUUGGCUAUUAUUAUCGUCUCAACUUUGCCCGCCACUGGGUCCCCGACAGUGCGCGU
rnacentral:ncRNA from 1 species